rnacentral:misc_RNA from 1 species
UAAAAAUAUUAAAAAUUCUCCUGUGCAUUGUCCAUGUCUUUUUCUAUCGUCCGAAUAGAUUUCAUAUUCUGUGAAUUAGCGUUUUUUGUUAAAAUAGUUAAAUUCGUUUAAGUUAAGCCGUCAUGUGAAUGGUUCGUUUUGAUUGUAAAAUGAAAUUCAGCUGAUGGAUUAACAAAUUUAAAAACAUUAAUGUUAAAGUAAAUUAAUCGCAAAUCUAUCUUCGGCCUCUAUGUCUCCGCCACACGGUUAAAUUAAACUCCAAAUGAAAAUUAAAACAAAAAUGACAAAAUUCUAGCUGCUUGAUCAGAACAACAAUGAAAUCUAUUCGGUCAUCGCUUUGGUGCAGCUCACAGCUGAACUUAAAGCACAUAAAAAAUGACAUAUGCAAGUCCUUCGCCUUCCAAGUGUGCAGGGGGACUCACGGGAAGAAGACAUCCUCCAAGGUAAGCGGUAGUUCUCAUAGCUGUACAAAGUCCUUUUACCCUCCGAGGCUUCUUGUUCGCAAAUUGAAAAAGAAGACACAGACAAAAUUUGUGAAGCACAUAUCAACGCACACAGUCGGGCGGAAGCAAGAGUCGGGUGACAUCACUCGAGAGCCGCCCAGACAGAAUGAUUCCGUUAAGAGCAAAAUCGAACGAGCUCGCUCCAAGAACGGGAUGAGCCAAGACGCCAGUUGUCACAGUAUCCCCACAUAUUUGUUUUCCAAUUUCUCACUCCCUACAUUCUCGGAUCUCGAAAACAGUUUCAGCAUUUUCAGUAACAGUUCUGAUUGGAAAACGGCAGAAGAUAAGGAUCUGAAUGUCGAGAUGUGCAUGGAUCUCGGGGUCGAGCCAAUGGAGGUCUCAAACAAUCAUGAUAUGUCUUACAGAAAGUCUCUGCUCGAUCUGAUAAACAACAAUGAGAAACCAGAGGAAAAAGAGGUGAAAUCAAACUGUAGCCUGAUAGAGCCACCGAGGAAUCUCCAGGCGGAGGUAGAUUAUUGUAUAGUCGAAGAGAAGCUACUAGGCUCGACUCCGUCCGAUGUGAUCUGGAAGAAUAAGAAUGUUUGCAUUGGCCCGGCAGUCGGAACCGAACUCUAUCCUCCGUCUGAUGUGAAAAUGACCAUCGUAUCGGCAGAUCGUCCCAAACAUUAUUGGAACAGGGCUAGCAAGACGAGUCUAAUGGAUGAAGAUGUUGAGAAAAUCCAAGAGAAGAAUAUCCCGUUAUUUACGUCUGAACCGGAAAUAUUGGAACUGAAUCCUUGCCCUGGUAAGUUGGAAAAUAUAUCGCUUUCCUCUGUUCCGGAAAAUUCCGAAUGCAAACCUUAUGCAGAAAGAGAAGAGAGCAUCUCGUUGAUGACUCCCAUUGUAUUGGUGCCUUGUACGGUGAAAGAAGGGGAUGUUACAUUGGUUACGCCCAAUUCAAAGAUUAAUGGAGUGACACCCGGUCAGAUGAAUUCAACGGAAAGCGAACCGAAUAUCGACCAAGAACAGUUCAACCCUACGAGUAUAGUAAGCAUAAUGAAUAUGAUCAAAGACACUGAUCAAAUGAUCUGUAGUGACAGUAAUAGUUUUGAAGAUUUCUUGAAAAAAGGCCCCAUAGAAAAGUUACCGGUCAGCUCGCCCGAACCUACGAAUGUUUUGAAUAUUUUAAAUUCUGUGGAUAAGUCUGCCGUAAUCAUUCAAAACGACCGAUAUGUAACAAACCGCAUUUUAGACACUCUAAAAGACAAAGGCAAUGAGAUGAACAAAGCUAAAGAUAAACUAAAGACAACUAGUCGAGAUUUUUUGAAAUUCAGCUGUGGUAUGAAUGAAAAGUUAGAUCGUUUGAAGGAAAAUUAUGAAAACUUUAAGAAGGAAACCAAUGGGGUUGAACAAGAGCUAACUAAACUUGACAAUUCAUUAAAUGAUGAUUUAUUAUUGUUAACAGACAAAUAUCACCUGCCACUUUUGAAAAAGGCAACAGAACAGGUGAAAGAAGGACUAGAGUCAAAAACCUUGUCCAACACAGAUUUCACUCUCCUCGAUAACAACACGGAAAAAAAUCUGUUGCAUUUGAUUUCAAAAAGCAGUAAAAAUAAUAUAUUUAAUGAUAAUGCCGAGCAAGAAAGUGAACAAUUGGUUUUUGAUAACAACGCUUUGGAUGAGAAUAUGCUUUUGUUGAGGAAUAAUGAAAAUGAUCAAGUUUUGGCAGACACCAAUAAUGUACAGUUGAGCUGUCAAGGACUGAAUUCUUUUUCAUGUUCUCCCUCGCAAAAAAUCACUAUAAACCAGUCGAGGCAAUCACAUGACUCUGCAAAAAAGUCGCAAGAAGGAAAGUUGAAUGUUGAUGUGGCUACAAAAACUGUAAUUUCAAGUUCGAGCAAAGCGAGCGGGAGUGAGAUAUCAAUUGUCGAAGUUCAGAAGUUCACUGACAAACGGUUACCUUUUCCAUUUAGUACAGAAACUGUUUUGCAGGUGUUCGGGACUAAGGAGAAGCUCACCGAUGCUCUUUCUGUCAUCGAGCAGUCCAAGGCAAAGGUCGCCGUUCUCAACAGCUCCGACGGGCACAAAAAAGGUAACCAGGUGUCUCCUGCCUUUCAAAACAUGCUCACAUCUAUUAAAUCUUUUGACGAAAAGAAAGUUUCCCCCAUUCCCCUGAUUAUUCCUGUCGAUGUUGUGAACUCCGUUAAACCGCUCGAAGUUCACCCCUUGUCUUCUGAACUGCUGAUGAGGCAGGCCAAACACGCCGAACUGGUAAAGCUAGCUCGAAGUAUAAGCGCAAGUAACAAGGCUAUGAAAAUUGCUUUCACCAAUAAACCAAAGAGAAUCGUUAUUAGAAAGAAUCAGAAUAAAACGAAAAAAACAGUUCCGAAGGUUGAUAACGAACGACGUCCGUUUAAAGAAAGCGUGGAAAAAGUAAAAAUUAUUGGCCCUAAGCAGAUUGAUCUUAUUUUGGGUUUGUCUCCUAAAGAAAGUGUAGCCAAAAGGAAAAGCGCUUACUUUCAAUCUACUGGGACGAAAAGGGUCGACCAACAGGUUAAAAUGAACGAUGAAAGAAAUGUAACAGAAAGGAUUAAAGAUGUAGAGAAAAGCCAAAAUCAGCCAGUUGAGCAAUGGGUUGGUAGAAAAAACCAUGUGACCUCCAAACCAGUGAUGGAAAUAAAACCUACGAUUUCCACUACACCAAAGAAAAUAGUCGACGCCAAAAUGAAGGCACUGGUAACUUUAAAAGCAGAAGAAGAAGAUGGCCUUUCACUAAGAGAUAGGACCAUCUUGAAAGAUAUUCUAGACGGAAAAUAUGGAUACCAAAAUGCUUUAAGCAAUAAAUUGAGCAGAGAGAGUAUUUCCACAAGCAGUAAUGUUAAAAAAGGCAGUUCGAGUGGCAAAGGUAACGGAGAUGAACCUACCGAUGAUGCGAAAAUGUCAAAGAUGUUGAUAGAGAAGAUUAAAAACGAUUCUUGUGGCCCAAUUCUUGGCAAUCGGGAAGCUAUAAGAGAUUGUGAAACAAAAACUGUUGAAUCUGUCAGAUCUAAAUCUCCUACUAAUAAUAAUAAUUUAACUCCACAGAAUCAUGAAAUGGGCAACUUGAAAACAUCAGAUUUAAAUAAGAAAGCAAAACAAAAUGUUAAAAAUGAACCCACUCUUAACAAAGCUAAACCCAUUAUUCAAAAAGUUGCAGCUAACAUUAUGACAAAUCUGAAAAAACAAAGUAGUACUUCUAAUAUGGCCAUCAAGCAUGUAAAUGAUGUUAAAGACAGGCAAAAAAUUGCAGUUAUUAAUCCCUAUGGCAAGCAACCGUCCAAACAAGAAGUCAUUGUGAAACCGGGAGUAGGUGUGAUGGGGGCACAGUUAUCAAAACCAGAACUGAUUCCGAUUGCUCAAACGAAUUCUGGCGAUGGUAUGAAAGCACAUGAAUUAUCCAAGAUGAAAGAAACAGUUAAACCGGGGGUCAAGCAAUUUGUUGAGUCGACACUCCAAAGUGAUGCUCCGUCACCCAAAAAGGAAUUCCUCUACAAGAGUUCUGGUAAUGUUAAGGUGAGUGUUUUCAUCCCCAAUUCCAGUAGACCGGAUCUUAUUAAAAAUAGUGCUAAAGUUGAAAAAAAAGUACCCAAAGAAGAAGCCAAGAUAUUGGCAAAUAAAACUGCAGAAAAUCCUCCCUUAAAAUACAACAAGGUUCUCUUCGUAAAGCCAAAUUCAGUCGCAAAAGAACGGGUGGAAAAUCAAGAUUUGUCCGAAGGACAGGUCACUCAUGACAAAAAAUUACGCCCAUACAAUUACGCACAGAUUUAUAAUCCUGAGGUAGUCAAACCUCAACCGGCAGCAAAAACAGUUGCACAUGAGGUUAGUAAUCCUGAGGAAGUCAAACCUCAAACAGCAGCAAAAACAGUUGCACAUGCGGUUAGUAAUCCUGAGGUAGUCAAACCUCAACCAGCAGCAAAAACAGUUGCACAUGAGGUUAGUAAUCCUGAGGUAGUCAAACCUCAACCGGCAGCAAAAACAGUAGUACCUGAGAUUAAUAAUUCUGAGGUAGUCAAACCUCAACCGGCAGCAAAAACAGUUGCUCCUGAGGUUAGUAAUCCUGAGGUAGUCAAACCUCAACUGGCAGCACAAACAGCUGCACCUAAUCAGUUGAAAAAGCCACAAACGGCCCCGACAGAUGACAAUCAGUCUUUUCCAUCUAAGCUGGGUGUGUCCCUGAAAAAUUUAAAGGAUGAGAUAGUGGCGAAAAAUGAAGGUAAGAGAAUACCCAUGAAACACUCACUCUUAUCGAAACUACCCCAGAUAAAGCCACUUACGUCAGUCAGUGAUAUGAAAAAACAGGCGUUAUUAAAAGCACAGGCUACUACUCAUACUAUUAAGGAAAAGGAAAUAGAAAGGAAUGAUGGCGAGAUGGCUGCAAGUCAUGCCGCUAAACCGACAAAUUUGACUGUGAAAGAUAAUAUCGAACUGAGACCUGAUACAGUUUCCCACACCCCUCCUCUUGACCUGAGUCAUGAGUUCAUGUUCAAUUUUGACAAGUUCAGUAAAGAAACAACUCCGUUUUUAGAUCCAACAUUAUGCAAAGAGUGCUUGGUCGCAGAGCACAGGAUUUUGGGCUUUCCAAUGCUCAACCCCGCCAAGACAGAUUAUGCCAUCAAGCAAGGCGUAAUUUCAAUUGACAUCGCUAAUAACUUGAUGCUUAAAAAACAGCUAAAAGGCAUUCCUUCAGUCACUACUAUACUGAACUCUACCAUGGGUGAUGCUUCCAAAGCAGCAUUGGCCAAGUGGAGGACUACGAUGAUCAACCAACUCGGUGAAGUCGGGUUCAAAGAUUUCUACAAAGUUAAAGAAAGGUAGUGAUUUUCAUGGAAGCGUACACCGAUAUCUUAAGACGCUUGCUACCGGCAAAGCUGAGGAAACAUCCUCUUUAACGUUCAAAAGUGUGAGAGAUGUACUUAAUAACAUUUCGGACGUGAGCGUCCUUGAAAGUCAAGUGAUUCACUCUCAACUCGGCUACAGAGGAGUCGUAGAUUGCAUCGCCAGAUACAAAGGCAUCCCCGUUGUAAUCGAGUGGAAACGAUCCGACAAGCCUAAGCCCACAGUCAGACACACUUUCGACGCUCCUCUCCAGCUCAGUGCCUACAUCGGUGCUCUCAAUUAUGACAAAAUGUAUGAUAUUCAGGUGCAAGGGGCCAUGGUCGUGGUGGCUUACAGCGAUGGCACCAAAGCAGACGUUUUCAACGUAAAUCUUGAAGAAUGCAAAGAAUACUGGAAACAGUGGCUUGGCCGUUUUAAAAG